ensembl:snRNA U6 U6 spliceosomal RNA
GUGCUUGCUUUGGUAGCACAUACAUGAAAUUUGGAAUAAUACAGAGAAAAUUAGCAUAGCGAGGGUGGCACAUAGGGUUUUACAAAUUUAU